rnacentral:rRNA from 1 species
CCUACGGGUGGCUGCAGUGGGGAAUUUUGGACAAUGGGGGCAACCCUGAUCCAGCCAUGCCGCGUGCGGGAAGAAGGCCUUCGGGUUGUAAACCGCUUUUAGCCGGGAAGAAAAGGCGAGGGAUAACACCCUUCGUUCUUGACGGUACCGGCGGAAUAAGCACCGGCUAACUACGUGCCAGCAGCCGCGGUAAUACGUAGGGUGCGAACGUGGAGCAGAGUGUGCGGAGGCGGUGCGUGCGGAGGGGGGUGAAAGCCCCGGGCUCAACCUGGGAAUGGCAUUGGAUACUGGCGGGCUUGAGUGUGGCAGAGGUGGGUGGAAUUCCGCGUGUAGCAGUGAAAUGCGUAGAGAUGCGGAGGAACACCGAUGGCGAAGGCAGCCCCCUGGGCUGACACUGACGCUCAGGCACGAAAGCGUGGGGAGCAAACAGGAUUAGAUACCCUAGUAGUC